UACGUAGGGGGCUAGCGUUGUCCGGAAUCAUUGGGCGUAAAGAGCGUGUAGGCGGUCCGGUAAGUCCGCUGUGAAAGUCGGGGGCUCAACCCUCGAAUGCCGGUGGAUACUGUCGGGCUAGAGUACGGAAGAGGCGAGUGGAAUUCCUGGUGUAGCGGUGAAAUGCGCAGAUAUCAGGAGGAACACCUAUUGCGAAGGCAGCUCGCUGGGACGUAACUGACGCUGGAGACGCGAAAGCGUGGGGAGCAAACAGG
rnacentral:rRNA from 1 species